AACUGGUUCUCACUGCAGUGAUA
rnacentral:miRNA from 14 species